rnacentral:rRNA from 1 species
ACACGUAGGAGGCGAGCGUUAUCCGGAUUCACUGGGCGUAAAGCGCGUGCAGGCGGUUCGGCAAGUUGUGCGUGAAAGCUCCCGGCUCAACCGGGAGAGGUCGUGCAAUACUGCCGGACUAGAGGACGGUAGAGGGAGGUGGAAUUCCCGGUGUAGUGGUGAAAUGCGUAGAUAUCGGGAGGAACACCAGUGGCGAAGGCGGCCUCCUGGACCGUUCCUGACGCUCAGACGCGAAAGCUAGGGGAGCGAACGGAAUUAGAAACCCCAGUAGUCC